UGAUAUUUGCAUAUUUAUCGGAGCCUU
rnacentral:sRNA from 1 species